UCACAUGUAGCUUAACGGUAAAGCACCAUCAAGCCUGAAAGAGUGCAGGUUCGAAUCCUGUUGUCUGCA
rnacentral:tRNA from 1 species